rnacentral:rRNA from 1 species
GACAAACCAGGAGGAAGGGGGGGAUGACGUCAAGUCGUCAUGCCCCUUAUGACAUGGGCUACACACGUGCUACAAUGGACGGUACAACGAGAAGCGAACCUGCGAAGGCAAGCGGAUCUGUUAAAGCCGUUCUCAGUUCGGACUGUAGGCUGCAACUCGCCUACACGAAGCUGGAAUCGCUAGUAAUCGCGGAUCAGCACGCCGCGGUGAAUACGUUCCCGGGCCUUGUACACACCGCCCGUCACACCAUGAGAGUCUGUAACACCCAAAGCCGGUGGGAUAACCUUUAUAGGAGUCAGCGUCUAAGUAGACCGAGU